UACGUAGGGUGCGAGCGUUGUCCGGAAUUAUUGGGCGUAAAGGGCUCGUAGGCGGUUUGUCACGUCAGGAGUGAAAACUCGGGGCUCAACCCCGAGCCUGCUUCUGAUACGGGCAGACUGGAGGUAUGCAGGGGAGAACGGAAUUCCUGGUGUAGCGGUGAAAUGCGCAGAUAUCAGGAGGAACACCGGUGGCGAAGGCGGUUCUCUGGGCAUUACCUGACGCUGAGGAGCGAAAGUGUGGGGAGCGAACAGG
rnacentral:rRNA from 1 species